rnacentral:tRNA from 1 species
GCGGUGGACAGCAGGGUUGGUUGGCGUUUGCCCUCCGAAGGCAAAGGUCACACGUUCGAAUCGUGUCGGGUGCGCCA